GACGAACGCUGGCGGCGUGCUUAACACAUGCAAGUCGAACGGAAAGGCCCUGCUUUUGUGGGGAUCCCGAGGGGGGCAGGGGUGAGAAACCCGUGAGUAUCCUGCCCUUGACUUGAGGAUAUCUUCAGACAGCUGGUGCUAAUCCCGGCUAGGAGCUCCUGCUGCUGGGUGGGCUUUGGAAAGUUUCGGCUGUUGGGGAUGGACUCGCGGGUUAUUAGCUUGUUGGGGGGGUAGUGGCAAACCAAGGCUUUGACGGCUAGCCGGCCUGGGAGGGCGAACGGCCACAUGAGGACUGAGAUACGGCCCAGACUCGUAUGGUAGGCAGCGGUGGAGAAUAUUGUACAAUGGGCGGAAGCCUGUUGCAGCAACGCCGCGUGCGGGAAGACGUCCUUGGGGUUGUGAACCGCAGUCGCCUGAGACGAAGCGUGAGUGACGGUAACGGGAGAAUAAGCACCGGCUAACUACGUG
rnacentral:rRNA from 1 species